rnacentral:rRNA from 1 species
GGAACUGAGACACGGUCCAGACUCUACGGGAGGCAGCAGUGGGGAAUAUUGCGCAAUGGGGGGAAACCCUGACGCAGCCAUGCCGCGUGAAUGAAGAAGGCUUCGGGUUGUAAAGUUCUUUCGGUAAUGAGGAAGGGAUGUUGUUAAAUAGAUAGCAUCAUUGACGUUAAUUACAGAAGAAGCACCGGCUAACUCCGUGCCAGCAGCCGCGGUAAUACGGAGGGUGCGAGCGUUAAUCGGAAUAACUGGGCGUAAAGGGCACGCAGGCGGACUUUUAAGUGAGAUGUGAAAUCCCCGAGCUUAACUUGGGAACUGCAUUUCAGACUGGGAGUCUAGAGUACUUUAGGGAGGGGUAGAAUUCCACGUGUAGCGGUGAAAUGCGUAGAGAUGUGGAGGAAUACCGAAGGCGAAGGCAGCCCCUUGGGAAUGUACUGACGCUCAUGUGCGAAAGCGUGGGGAGCAAACAGGAUUAGAUACCCUGGUAGUCCACGCUGUAAACGCUGUCGAUUUGGGGAUUGGGCUAUAUGCUUGGUGCCCGAAGCUAACGUGAUAAAUCGACCGCCUGGGGAGUACGGCCGCAAGGUUAAAACUCAAAUGAAUUGACGGGGGCCCGCACAAGCGGUGGAGCAUGUGGUUUAAUUCGAUGCAACGCGAAGAACCUUACCUACUCUUGACAUCCUAAGAAGAGCUCAGAGAUGAGCUUGUGCCUUCGGGAACUUAGAGACAGGUGCUGCAUGGCUGUCGUCAGCUCGUGUUGUGAAAUGUUGGGUUAAGUCCCGCAACGAGCGCAACCCUUAUCCUUUGUUGCCAGCGAUUCGGUCGGGAACUCAAAGGAGACUGCCAGUGACAA